rnacentral:rRNA from 1 species
AACGAACGCUGGCGGCAUGCCUAACACAUGCAAGUCAAACGAGACCUUCGGGUCUAGUGGCGCACGGGUGCGUAACGCGUGGGAAUCUGCCCUUGGGUUCGGAAUAACAGUUGGAAACGACUGCUAAUACCGGAUGAUGACGUAAGUCCAAAGAUUUAUCGCCCAGGGAUGAGCCCGCGUAGGAUUAGCUAGUUGGUGGGGUAAAGGCCUACCAAGGCGACGAUCCUUAGCUGGUCUGAGAGGAUGAUCAGCCACACUGGGACUGAGACACGGCCCAGACUCCUACGGGAGGCAGCAGUGGGGAAUAUUGGACAAUGGGCGAAAGCCUGAUCCAGCAAUGCCGCGUGAGUGAUGAAGGCCUUAGGGUUGUAAAACUCUUUUACCCGGGAUGAUAAUGACAGUACCGGGAGAAUAAGCCCCGGCUAACUCCGUG